AUUGAACGCUGGCGGCAGGCCUAACACAUGCAAGUCGAACGAGUGGCGGACGGGUGAGUAAUGUCUGGGAAACUGCCCGAUGGAGGGGGAUAACUACUGGAAACGGUAGCUAAUACCGCAUACCAUCGGAUGUUCCCAGAUGGGAUUAGCUAGUAGGUGGGGUAACGGCUCACCUAGACGACGAUCCCUAGCUGGUCUGAGAGGAUGACCAGCCACACGGGAACUUAGACACGGUCCAGAGUCCUACGGGAGGCAGCAGUGGGGAAUAUGGCACAAUGGGCGCAAGCCUGAUGCAGCCAUGCAGCGUGUACGAAGAAGGCCUUAGGGUUGUAAAGUACUUUCAGCGAUGAGGCGGUACUCGCAGAAGAAGCACCGGCUAACUCCGUGCCAGCAGCCGCGGUAAUAC
rnacentral:rRNA from 1 species